AAGACUCUACAUUGCUGCUGGAAGGUGCUGCUGUGUAUAGAAAGGUGUCUAGAAUAUAUUCUACAGAUUAUAAAAUAGCACAUCCAUUGAAGAAGCAACCAACAAGCGAAAGCCUAUGAAAGAUCGCGUGAUACUACCCUCAUCAUGGGUCUCAAUAGAUUGUCCAAUUAUUGUCCAGUAUUUUCUCAAUGAAAUGUAAGUGCCACGUUCCUAAAUGACACCGCUCUCUCUACAAUCUCAGUUGUGCAUCCAAGAGUUUGUCUCCCAGCAGUCUAGGAAAUGGUUGAUGCCAACUCUAACAUUGGGGAGCCUGAUGCCCCGAUGGUGCUAAUAUAGCCAAGUGAACUUCUGAGAGCUGAUUUUGCCACACAAGGUGUUGUGGAUGAUAAGCGUUUAUGCUCGAGAACAUAAGAUUAUUCCGUAGAAGAGCAAGCAGUUUAUAGGUUGUUGAUUACACAACCAGCACCAUGUGUAUUAAUACACCAUGUAUUAAUACAUGUUGUAUUAAUGGUGAUUUACAUAGUGUUUCACCUAUCAAGAUAGUUUAUUGUUUCAUUUGAUGUUUUAUUACUAUCGAUUUCUACAAAUUGCUAUAUAUAGUGUUUUACAAACUAUUUGCCGGGACUACAAGGCAAG